UUUUUAGUAUGAGUAUGUCCAAUCCAACAUUUAGGAUAUACUUAUACUAAAA
rnacentral:pre_miRNA from 1 species